UGAGCCGACUGGGCGAUCGCGGCCUGCUGUGCGAACUGCCUUUUCACCCCUUCGGGUGUUAACGGCAAGCGUCAGGUCGAGGAAAGUCCGGACUCCACAGAGCAGGGUGGUUGCUAACGGCAACCCGGGGCAACCCGCGGGCACGUGCAACAGAAAGCAAACCGCCUAGGAAACUAGGUAAGGGUGAAACGGUGCGGUAAGAGCGCACCAGCACGUUAGGCGACUAACGUGGCUGGGUAAACCCCACCUGGAGCAAGGCAAGAAGGCUGCACUGGUACUCGUGCUGGUGUGGCUGCGCAAACGUUUGAGGGCGGCUCGUCUGAAGUUUGUGGGUAGCUGCUUGAGGCGGGUUAGCAAUAACCCGUCCAGAUGGAUGAUCGCCACCGGGAAACCCGGUACAGAAUCCGGCUUACAGGUUGGCUCAUUCG
rfam:Corynebacterium mustelae strain DSM 45274, complete genome.